AAUCUUCAGUUUAUGAGUAAAGAAAAUACCAAUUUAGGGUGUUGCCCAAAUCCUCACUGCUAAUGUGAGACGAAUUUUUGAGCAGGUAAAAGUUGCUCCUAAAGUGACCCUCCUCCUUUGCAGGAUGCCUGGGAUUUGCAAUAUGUCCA